rnacentral:rRNA from 1 species
GACGAACGCUGGCGGCGUGCCUAAUACAUGCAAGUUGAGCGCUGAAGGUUGGUACUUGUGCCAACUGGGUGAGCGGCGGACGGGUGAGUAACGCGUGGGGAAGCUGCCUUUUAGCGGGGGACAACAUUUGGAAACGAAUGCUAAUACCGCAUAAAACCUUUAAACACAAGAUUUAAGGGUGAAAGAUGCAAUUGCAUCACUCAAAGAUGAUCCCGCGUUGUAUUAGCUAGUUGGUGAGGUAAAGGCUCACCAAGGGGAUGAUACAUAGCCGACCUGAGAGGGUUGUCCGCCAAAUUUGGACUUGGACCCGGCCCAAACUCCUUCGGGGAGGAGCCAGAGGGAAUCAUCGGCAAAGGACGAAAGUCUGACCCAGCAACGCCGGGUGGGUGAAGAAAGGUUUCGGGUCUUAAAACUCCGUUUGUAGGGAAGAAAGUUGGGGAGAGUGGAAAGCUCAUCAAGUGACGGUACCUACCCAGAAAGGGACGGCUAACUACGUG